rnacentral:rRNA from 1 species
UACGUAGGGGGCAAGCGUUGUCCGGAAUCAUUGGGCGUAAAGGGUCCGUAGGCGGCUCAGCAAGUCGGGUGUGAAAUCUCCAGGCUCAACCUGGAGGUGCCACUCGAUACUGCUGUGGCUUGAGUCCAGUAGGGGAGCAUGGAAUUCCCGGUGUAGCGGUGAAAUGCGCAGAUAUCGGGAGGAACACCAGUGGCGAAGGCGGUGCUCUGGGCUGGAACUGACGCUGAUGGACGAAAGCGUGGGUAGCAAACAGG